UACGUAGGGUGCGAGCGUUGUCCGGAAUUAUUGGGCGUAAAGAGCUCGUAGGCGGCUUGUCGCGUCGUCCGUGAAAACCUGCAGCUCAACUGCAGGCUUGCGGUCGAUACGGGCAGGCUAGAGUUCGGUAGGGGAGACUGGAAUUCCUGGUGUAGCGGUGAAAUGCGCAGAUAUCAGGAGGAACACCGGUGGCGAAGGCGGGUCUCUGGGCCGAAACUGACGCUGAGGAGCGAAAGCGUGGGGAGCGAACAGG
rnacentral:rRNA from 1 species